GCGCCUGUGGAUCCUGUGGAUGCUCGUUUGGGUACUUCUUUGGUCUCACUCAAAAACUCUAGCACAGAGGAUGACCUGGGCCUGCUGGGUUGCGUUCAGAGGUGACUUUGAAAUCACGCAGAAAACUCAGAAAAACGAGGCUCGAAGAGCAGAGAAAACUUUCAAAAAUGGCUUCGCGAAAUUAGAGAAAAAUCAAUCAAAGGCUUAAUCUUGAAUUGCUAUGCGCACAAAAAGUUGAAGUUUCAAAACUUGAACUAAGACGAUGUUAAAGAAAAAUCAACGUGAAUCAACACGUGGCGUAAAACUUAGAAGACUAAGAAAAAGUUCUAAGAGAAAACAAAGAAACGCACCACAGAAGGGUGUGGACAGAAGAGAAGGGGCAUAAGAGCCGGGGACAAGAGAGUCAGCAGAAGAGCAGAAGCAUAAGAGGAAUAAGAGAGAUAAGAGAGAGAGCAACCCCACUCCACUGGUUUUAUCUUCUCACACUGGGAGUGUCUGAGGAGAAAGAGGAGGGGUCAUCGGGUCUCUGAUUAUUUGAUCUAACUUAUUCUUUUGGCUGGUAAAAGAGUCAGAUCUGAUACUCACUCACUAUGAUUAAUGUCAUUGAAUGCUUGGUUUCAUGAUAAAUAAUUUGAUACUAAACACAUAUGAAUGAAGUGUAGGAUCACAUCAAACAUUCUCAUUAUGUUUUAAGUAUCACAUUGAACAUGCUAAAUUACUCUGAAAUGAAACAGAUAGUAACACAUAGAAACUGUGAACAACAAAAGAGUAAACACAUGUGAAUGAACGUCAUCAUGAUUAAUAAUGGAUUCUAAAUACUCACAUUCAGAUUAUUCAGUGACAUUAUAACCACCUAAUGGUUAAGAUACUAAAUAAAUAACUAAAAUAUAAACCAAACAUUUCUAAACUAUUUCUGUUACUUAGAGUAAACUUAGGAUUCAUAGUCAAUAAAUUUAACUCUUAAAAGUUCAUGAAACAGUCUGAAAAGCUGUUGGUCUAAAGAACAAAAGAAUAAGGAUUUAUUCUGUCAGAUAAGAUAACUUGGCUUCUGAAGCACAUAGAAAAACGGGAAACAUCUCAUUUUAACACAAAUUUCAUGAUUAGACAGAUUAGUACAUUGCUGAAUGCAUAAGAUGUCAUGAUCAGUCAUUUGUAUUCUUUCACCAAAGGAAUGCAGUCUUUAUCAGUGUAUGGUCGAGCAGGGUUUUACGACCGAGGUCUGGAGGUCAGUGUCCCCCCUUAUCCUGGGGUCCGUAUGUUCACACACUUUAAGACGCUUAAUCUCAAAUGGGAGAUCUGGGUUAAGGUUAAUGUUUAUUUAGAUGGUCAGCAAAUGGAGUCAGUUUGAAAGGUAAUAAAAACUCUGUCUCUGUUCGCCGAACUGACCAAUCCUGAAGAGUCAGAGGUUUAGUCAACCUCCGGUUGGGUCACUUAUUUAACCUGAAAGUGCAAACACGUCUGGAAAGAUUUAUAUCCUGUUUCCUGGGACCAGAUAAGGAAACUUUCCUGUAAGGAAUGUGUGGGUUUCACAUCCAGGGUUGUCUUGAUUGCUACAGUCCCCCCUUCGUCACGGUGGUCCUGUCCAUGGAGCAUCGGGACGACGAGUAGACAACCAUGAAGCAGCAGCAGCAGCAGCAGGUGUAUGCAAAUAGGACUGAUGCGUCUCGUCAUCACUAUGUGAAUCACUAGUACUGCUUUGAGAUAAAAUUAAGCAUGCAUUAAGCUAUCAAAUAAAAUCGUCUAGUUGUUAGACUCUUCUCAGUUAACUAUUGGUAGACUAAUGUGAAAGAAAAUCUCCUAAUUUUCAAUAUUAAUGAGACUUAGAAAAGCACUCUUUAGUCUGAAUGCUAACUGGAUCUAAAGCUAUAGCUGUUUUUCAUGCUUGCUGGAGAAGUCUGAAAGUUCAAUUUCAGUUUCAAAAAUGGUUAAGACUUAGGUGGAAAAGAAAUGUCUGCUAUAGACAUAUUAACCAUCUGUGUAUGAGCAUAGUCAACCUGAAUCACAAACAUCAAAAGUUUACUGCACAGAGUUUCUCUUAAACUUUGUCUGUUAAACUUGGGGAUGAUGCUCUUAUCGGUUUGACUAAUUAUCUGCUAUUAAGUCUGAAAUUUGUCAAUCUGAGUCUUAAUGACAGAAAUUUCAGGUUUUAAUCUGUUCAUGGGAUAUUUGACAGCUGACAAGCUGACUAUAUUGACAGAGGAGAGACAAAUGCUAACAAAGAAAGCAGCAACUGGGAUUGCAGUCAUCAAUGUAUCACCACAGCAUUUGGAUAUCUUAUUGGAGUCAUUUAGCUUUGGCUGGGUGACUUCUGCUUUCGCAGGACUCACACCUUCAUGACUCCACAGUGUUAAUCUCAGUGGUUAGCUGAGUAGUCAUGUUUAUUCACCUUCAAAGUGGAUGAAACCGAUUGAGGUGGAUAAUAAGAUCGUCGUUUCUGAGAGUGUGAUUUACUCUGAUUCUGCCAGUCAUUCACCCCCCUUUGGUGGUGUUGGUGGUUUUUCCUUUGUCUGGGAUAAAACCCACCGUGACGGGAGUCUGAAUAACAACAGUUGGUCUCAAAGUUUACCGGGCAUUGGUCUGUGUCAGACCUGGGCCUUGGUGUGUAACUUUGACCUUUGUGAGUGUGUUGAGGUCGAAAAGGUUUUGGAGGCCUGGUUAACCACUCAUUUGGAGGCUUAUCGGAGCCUGAAAAUACACAAUCUGAAGCUUCGUUCAGCUCCAUGGGCAGUGAUUUUGUCUCCAUAGCCAACAGAGUAACAGGCUCUGCUUUCUUAGCCAAAGUUUGUCGUUGUUUGGCAAAACCUUUUACAGCAAGUUCACGAAGCUGUCGGCUAGUCAAAGUGUUUGGACAAGCUAAGACGCCAAGGUGAUGACUGGUGGUAGGGUGGAGGUUCUGGACGAACAGCGUUUUGAAGUUCAAGUCCUCCUCCAUUUCUGGUUCAUUUCGGAAACCAAAGUAAGCUUCGCGUAAGCGGUUGUAAUAUUGUUGGGGAGGUUCUGAUCUCCCUUGUUUAAUAGACAGAGCAGCAGAAAGGCCUGUCUGGGUCAAAUGAUCAGAAAACUCUUCAAUUAAUGCUUGGCAGAGCAAGUCAUAAUUAUUUCUGACAUGAUAAGGCUGUCGUUCAAGGAAACUGCUAACCUCUCGACUUGACGUUGCCUUAAUAAGGUAGAUCUUGUCAUCAAUGGUUGCACCUGGAAAUUUCCUCAGGUAAAAGUCAAUGUCUUUCAAGUAGGUGCAGGUGUCAGUAGCACCUUGGUGCUCAGGUUCAAAGCGUGCUAUGUUGCGAGCAAUUUUGUCAAGAUCCCUAUCUGAGGGAGAUGGUAAGAAGCCAUCAUGAGGAGGAGAGUAGGACUCUUGGUUUAAGGAUGACCUCUCAGGGUCAAGCAGGGUCCUGUCAUGAUGCUGAGAGAGAUACUUAAGAGUUGGUUUGGAAGGAAGUGAUGGCGCUCUCUCAGGAGGCUGAUCACCUAUCAUUUCUUCAAGAAACGUUUGCUCCAUGCGUUCUCUUUGGGCUCGACCUGACUGGAGGGAGCAUUGUAACUCUCUUUGGGCAUCUUCAAGUUCUUUGUCUGUCUUUUCUUGCCGUUCUUGACAAAGAAUUAACUGUCUUUGAGCUAUCUGGAGCUGGUGCUGUAAGGUAGAAGUUUGCUUCUCCUUAACUUCAAGAGCUUCAGCACGCACUUUGACCAGUGCUUUCAAAGUUUUUACAUCUUCUGUUGCUUGCUCUAGUAGGGAUUCUGACUGUAUCAGAUCCUCUGUGGUCUUAGCAAGCUGCUUAUUCGUGUCAUCAAGUUCUUUCUCCUUUUUGUAAAGGGUUUCAUUAAGUCUUUCAAUCUUGUCUUUGAGAUCAAGAUUUUCUUCAUGACUUAUCAGUGAGGGAAGCUUUGACGCUUCACAUCUGGCACUGUGUUUUUCUAAAACACUUAGAGACUUCUUAGUCUCCUCUAGCGUCUUUUUCAGAGCGCUGUUUUCGUCUUUUUGCGCCUUUAUCUUUGCUAAAGCGCAUUCCAGCAAGUAGUCUUUAUACUCAAGCUGAGAAGACAUCAUGACAGACAUGCAUCUAGUGAGCUCUUUGUCACGAAGUGUCGUGGUUAAGGCUGUUUCCAGUAAGUCAGCCAUUGCAUCCUCCGGAUUGGAGGGUUUGGCCUUUUGAAUCUUAGUCAUGUAUUGAGGUAUCAACUGACUAGUCAAGUUUGCCAACACUGUGUGUAUGUCCCUCAGGGGGUCUCCCUGGCUGGACUCUUUUGUGUUAGGCAUGUUUGGUUUUGGUAAAGAGGUGCAGCUGGUUGGUUGAUGAGUUUGAGUUGACUUAAAAUGAAAGGAAGAAGCAAAAUAUCAAAUUAAGUGGGUUAAUCGACUUAAUUUAUCAGUGCUUGAUAAAGAGAAAGAGCCUAUCUGAGUAGAUCUCUAAUGGAGAGAAAAAACCAUAAAGUUAAAUUCAUUUCAAUGAAAAUUGAAAAAAGUGAAAUGAUGUUAAAUUAAAUUUAACAUCAGAUACAGAACCAUUGAAUAAAGGGUUCAAUUUGUCUCUGUGUUGCAGAGAUCAGCAAAGCUUAAAUAAACUGCCUGCUGCAGUUGGAUGAAUUUGAAAAAUCAAUGAAAUUGUCAAUUAAGGAAUUAACUCUGAAAUUAAUUCACAAAUCGCAAUAAAGCCAAAGAUUCAACUACCCAAUUCAUCUGAAAUGUUAAAAGAAAUUUCAAGUAUUAAUUAAUUUGUUCAUUAAUUAAUUAAUCUUAUGAGGAGGGUUAAUACAUUCAUGUAUUAUAGGGAACAGUAAAACUGCUCAAUGGUGUGAUAAGUAACAACAAGAUCAGGUGAUUGAUUCAAGGAGUUACUUCAUCAAUACCUUACGGAGGCUCUUAUAACAAAGAUUAAAAUCAAAAAUCAAUGAUCAAUGAUUUAGAAUAAGCACAUCAAACUUCAUCAACCAAGUCAAUCACUUGAGUUAUGUCUGUAGAGUGUUACACACUGACUACAGAGAGGCAGUACAGCUAGCUGAUACUGCAGACAGAUAAUAGCAGUGUUAGCUCAAUACCAAAAGCAACCAUGUGGGGCAGUAUGGAGUUGGGGUAACUGCACAAGCUCAACACAAGUGGAGAAGAAGAAGAAAAGAGGAAACAGUCAUCCAACUAGCCUCUUGUGGCUGUGUGAAGUUGGGAAGUAUGCAGGAAGGGGCCUUUAGGCUCUGCCUCCUUGAAGGGCCUUAUCUGCUUAAGGUCAAAUGGUCAGUCUCUCCACUGACAACAAAGGGUUAACAUUUCACAGCAGGCUGCAUCUGCACCCUCAAACAUAGAACUUUCCACCAUCUGCUCAGGCAGAUUGGUUCAAUAAAAUCAUUUACAGGAACAAGAAUCAAAGUGGCAAAUCCCUCAACAGCAGAUUCAACUGCAGACUUAAAAAUCACAAAUGCGGCGAUUUGUGAUCACAAAUUUUAUCUGAAUUCAUUCAAACAACAACCUCCCACUGUUACAGUGGUUUCCUGUGACAGUUAGCUUAUCUGUCAGGGGAAAGGAGGAAAUCUAAAUCCCAUAUAGUUACUAGAACUUCAUAGCAGACUAUAGUGACAAGAAUCAAAGUGACAAAUCCCUCAACAGCAGAUUCAACUGCAGACUUUAAAAUCACAAAUGCGGCGAUUUGUGAACACAAAUUUUGUCUGAAUUCAAUCAAACAACAACCUCCCACUGUUACAGUGGUUUCCUGUGACAGGUAGCUAAUCUGUCAGGGGAAAGGAGGAAAUCUGAAUCCCAUAUAGUUACUAGAAACUCGUAGCAGACUACAGAGACUUCAGGGGCUUGAAACCACAGCUCGGAGCAUCGCGAACACUGGGUUCAGCCAAAGGCCUUAAAUACAAGCGUACGGCGACGCAACAAUCGUGCACUUAAAUAUUGGACAGUCUAGACAGAGCAGAAGAAGCAGUCUCACUGCUACUCAGAACAACAUUUCACGCUGUCCAGCUCAAACACAGACUACAGGCAUGUAGUACAAAAGUGUGUGAAACACAGAGCAUAAAGGUUUUAUGCAUAGAUCAGGAAACAUCAGAACUUAGUCAAGCAACUUCAGCAAGCAUAGCAUUUAUUGUGAUUAAGUCUAGGAUAGCCUGGAAAUAAGUUUCUCUCAUCAAUUUGGAAGGCUAAGUUUUAGGUUGUCUGUUAGUAUCCAGAAGUUUUGUUUGAAACGCCUCACGCAGGGGCUCCAAAAUAUAUGUAGUGAUUUGAAAUGAGCCUCAUACGGUCGCACCAAAAUAUAUGUAGCGAUUUGAAAUGAGCCUCACAAGGCCGCACCAAAAUAAUACUUGGCGAUUGGAAUUUAUAAUAAAUGUCUGAAGAUUAAUAAUCUCAAAUUAUGACAUUUAUGCACUCGUUGAAAGGGGCACCACCCACCCUUAAUGGUGGGAAAAUAAAGAAAACAAAAGUUUAAUUCAGAAAUCAAACAUCAAGUCAGUCUUAAUUAAUCAGUCUUAAUUAAUCAGUCUUAAUUAAUCAGUCUCAUAUCUUAAGUCGAAAUUCUAAUUUCAGGGACUCCACUUCUGGAAGAACACUAACAGACAGGAACUUAGAAAAAUAAUGAUCUGUUUAUUACAGGAUAAAUGAUAGUACAACACACAUGCAAUAAAUGAUGAUAAGAUAAUGAGGAUAAAAUAAUAAUAGGUGAAUAAAUAAAGAUUCUGAGUCAGGCUAGGAGCACUAAAGUUAAUGAUAGUGAGUGAAUAUGCGCUAACAUAUUAACCUACACUAACUUUGGUGUCGAGAUAAACUCGGGUGUAGAUUUGGAGGAAUCUAAGAUCACCAGAAAUAGGUGGAUAUCUGAGUUAUGAACGCGUGAGACAGCAUCAGCCCUGUCUGGAGCUCUGGAGGUUUGCAUACUUAAGUGAGACUGGUCCUUGGAGAAGAUGGAGCAGGUUCCGAAGGUCCGGGGCUACUGGCGGUUCGAGCGGUUCAGCUCAGAAGACGACUGAAGUCAGCCGAAGGAUGAGCCAGGAGUUGCAGCACUCGGGCCCGAAGCAAAGCCAGCGCCUGUGGAUCCUGUGGAUGCUCGUUUGGGUACUUCUUUGGUCUCACUCAAAAACUCUAGCACAGAGGAUGACCUGGGCCUGCUGGGUUGCGUUCAGAGGUGACUUUGAAAUCACGCAGAAAACUCAGAAAAACGAGGCUCGAAGAGCAGAGAAAACUUUCAAAAAUGGCUUCGCGAAAUUAGAGAAAAAUCAAUCAAAGGCUUAAUCUUGAAUUGCUAUGCGCACAAAAAGUUGAAGUUUCAAAACUUGAACUAAGACGAUGUUAAAGAAAAAUCAACGUGAAUCAACACGUGGCGUAAAACUUAGAAGACUAAGAAAAAGUUCUAAGAGAAAACAAAGAAACGCACCACAGAAGGGUGUGGACAGAAGAGAAGGGGCAUAAGAGCCGGGGACAAGAGAGUCAGCAGAAGAGCAGAAGCAUAAGAGGAAUAAGAGAGAUAAGAGAGAGAGCAACCCCACUCCACUGGUUUUAUCUUCUCACACUGGGAGUGUCUGAGGAGAAAGAGGAGGGGUCAUCGGGUCUCUGAUUAUUUGAUCUAACUUAUUCUUUUGGCUGGUAAAAGAGUCAGAUCUGAUACUCACUCACUAUGAUUAAUGUCAUUGAAUGCUUGGUUUCAUGAUAAA